CUACCAGCUUUUGGCUGUUAUGUAUAAAGCUGCUGUGAAUAAGUUGGUAAAAGACUUUUUGUGGAUAUGUGCUUUCGUUUUUCUUAGGUAAAUAUCUUAGAGUGGAAUUGCUGGUUGCAGACUAAAUAUGAAAAACUGAGGCAUAGAGGGAAGAAACAGCCUGAUCAAGGAGCCACAACCAGUCCUUGUCCCAGGCUGGGAUGGGAAGGUAUACAUGGAGAAAUGCGAACUGUUUCGUGCUGCUGGAAGUUGAAGACAGCAGAGCAUCAGGAGAUGAGACGGAACCCUCAGCCACUCUGAAGAUGCCCAUUUACAGAGCAAGAGGAAUGGAAAGUUACAGUAACUUGCCCCAAAUCCCAUGGCUUAGCAAAUGCUGGCCCUGGAAUUCAACCCUGGAUCUGCCUGCUCAGAGUUCAAGUCCAGCUGCCAUGAAAAUCAUCUGACUGAAAUAGCAACUUCAGGUGGCUACUACAAGGCUGUCCUCAAUUUUAAGAUUUUAUAAGAAAAGCCAGUGGGGUCCCAGACAAAGUUAAAAAGAUGCUCCAUUUCAUCAUCCCAGGCUGUGGUGAGGGUCAUGAUGGUUGAACAGGGAACUUCUGGGAGGCAUUACACAGAAAAUUGUUACAACACCACAUUGGAUGAGCUGGAGGGGUGACAUGAUCAUACCCUUUUUCUGGGGAAGAGUCCCUCAUAUCUCCCUUGCAACUCAAGAAGACCAGAUGGGACACCAAGGCUCAGAGAGAUGAAGCCAGUUGACUCAGAUCCACUGUUAAUAAGCAGAAAAGGCAGAAUUCACAACCGGGUCUUCUGCCUCUAAAUCCAACACUUAGAGAAGAACAUCUGCAUCUGCUUUAAAAUUUUAUGGAGACAGAUGAAAUCCCAUAUGCUUAAUACUUCGAGAAAAAAAUGUGAAGCAAAUAAA